GUAUUCGGGUAAUCGCUGUGCAUUCCAUUGCAUAGAGGAAAGUCCAUGCUCGCACAGCCUGAGAUGGCUGUAGUGAUCGCGCCUGACGAAAAAAUAAGUCAGGGCAGCCGGAGACGGCUGACGGCGGAAGGUAUGCCUGCCUCCAUCUUCGAUGGAAACGGCAUAAACUUCUUUAAAGUGCCACAGUGACGGAGCUUUUCCGGAAACGGAAAAGGUGGAACGAGGUAAACCCCGCGAGCGAGAAACCCAAAAUCAGGUAGGGGCACUCCUGGAAAGGAAUUCAACAGACCAGGAGACAGGCACAGCCUGUAGACAGAUGAUUGCCGCUUUUGUACGAGGGUGACUCCCGUUUGCAGUACGAAGUAACAGAACAUGGCUUACGGAA
rnacentral:RNase_P_RNA from 1 species